rnacentral:misc_RNA from 1 species
UUUAAAGAAGGAAGUUAUCUCAAGGUCUCUAUUGACACUUACUGUGAUCGCCAACUCAGGAUGAGAGCUCUGCAUCUUUAUUUACUUUUAUCACCGAAUUAGAUUUUGAUACCAAUGUCCACGGUUGUGCUCCUUUGUGCUUGAUUGCUAGCUGCUGGCCCAAUUCCCUUGAGUUGCUAUCAUCUAGGAGAUCUCCUGUUCAGGCUUUUCCAAUCCUUUAUGGUUUCUUAGCAGGUUCCAGUUUGUCUUUUACCUCCCCCCAUCGGUGUUGCUGUGUUUUCUCAUUGUACUUCCUCAGUUAGUUCCCUGCGGCGAG